CCCAUCCACGAGCACCAAUUUCUCAUAAUUAUUAUUACAGUUAGUACAAUGAGGCAGAACGAUAGUCACAACUCACCAAAGAAACUGUUAUGAAAUUGUUACUGUUAUAAAUGAACAGGAAUUGUGCAAUAUCGUUGUGCUAAUGUUAUUAUCAGGUGUAUUGCAUUAAGGAAUCGAUGUAUUUUUGAUUCCAAACAAGUACCUGAAUUAAUUAAAACAAAUUUAUAUAUAUAUAUAAAUAUAUGUAUAAUAUAUCUUGCAAACUGAUCCCACUUGAGUCGUGUACUCAAGAUAUGCUAAACCACUGCCUUGAUUUAUGGGCUUCCACCUUUUUCUGUCCCAUACUUUGUGUACUUUAACACGAUACUCAUUCUGCACUUCUCCCAACGUCCAUUCUACUGAUUUCCUACCGCACAAUUUAUCCGGAAAAGAAAAAGAAAAAAAAAAGAGAAGUCCUAUUCGUCCUACAUGUCUCCUUAAAAGAAAAACAAAAUUACUUAGAUUUUAAAGGCUUCUAUAUUGUACAAGUUUUGAAUUCAGAUUCUUAAACAAGAAAAGAAUCAUUUAUACGGUCUUUAAACUGUAGAUAUGUUUAUAUUGAUAUAGUGUGACAUCAAAAAUUCCACGAACUUUUCGUAAACUUGAGCGUUUUUUUAAAAAAAUAAAUUUAAAACCAUGAAGCAAACAAAUACA